AAAAAUCUCAUUUGAAUAAAUUAAAAAUAAUUAGAUAGUCAAUUUUGACCUAUUUUAAUUAAUUGAUUAUAUUUUCAAUACAUUUACUAAUCCUUUAUAGUUUCUAAAGUAAAAAAAAAGAGGAAAUAUCUUAGACAGAUGACUCCAAUAGCUGGAAAAUGAAUGAAAGAGAAAAAAGAAAAAUUGAAAGACUCCACUACUCACCUCACGUCUCUUGCCAAUCCAAAAAAGAUUCCUCUCACCUUUCCCACUCUCCUAAAAGCUGAUGGACGAAGCAUUAAAUAAGAGGAAAAUAAAAAUCCACAAAAAUAAACCCUUUCUCUCUGUCCACUCACUCACCCAUUAACUCUCACUCACACUCUCUUCUCUCUCUGGGUAGCGGAAGAAACAAAAGAAUAAGAAACAAAAAUCCCUCACCCACUAACAGUGAUUUCGCUCAGACUCUCACUCUCUCCAAGGAAAAAAAAAAGAAAUUCAUAACAAAAAGAAGGGGAAGAUGAACCACUGUUCAUCUUCUUGAGAAAUUAUUUUGCUUCUUUUUCGAAGCCACCACGUGAAAUCCCCUUUCCGUCUACCACACCCUCCGCCUCUCCGCCAUCACCUUCACCGUCCACUUUUCUCCAUCGACAACGCCACCGUGUGAAACACCAUCAUCACCGUUUUCAUUUACUCUACAACCACCAAAACCCACUCCGACCGUCGUGUCUUCAACGAAACCCACCGUGCGACCAACCCAAAACGCUCACUCUCCGCUGUUCAUCUUCUC
rnacentral:lncRNA from 1 species